CGCCAACGCGAUAGAUAUUGUGCAUAUCUUUAACAUACAGUAUCGGACAAUUCAUUUGAAUGUUUUCAUGAUCGAUGUCUCCCUUACAAAAAAUAUUAAUGAUUUGAACAAUAUGUAAGCUUUGAGGUCGUGCGUUCAGCGACGCCAGCUGUUUUAGGCGUAUUGUAAGUCACAAAGUGUGGGUGCGAUUCUCACUUUAGUCGGAGAAAAAUUUUCAUCAAACAGAAAAUUCUUCAAAUUGUGUUAGAAAUUUUUGAGAUAAAUUGUUUGUAAACCAUAGCGUAAACGUCAGAUGCCUGUCGCCCCUUGCUUUUAUAUCAUUUUCUAUGUCUUGUACAUACCGCUUUGUACAUCCAAUAAACCCCUUUCACCUCAGUCGGCGACCUCUUGUCAUUAAGUCUGCCAUAGUCUCGUUAACAUCUCAAUUUGUCAGCCCGUCACCGAGGAGCGCACAGUGGCCGGAAGCCGGACAAAACCUCAAAAAUCGACUUCAAUAUUUCAUUUUUCUAAUAUUUUUCUUCCAUUAUAGAUACUUCAACUAAGAAAACCCCAAAUUUUCAAGUCAUUUGGUCAAAAAUUGAGUCUUGCAGAUUUUUUCAAAGUUGAAGUUUUAUGUGGUACAAUAUUAGUAUUUAUUGUCUUUAUUUUAUGAGCUUCCUUCAUGAGUUCGUUGUAAAAGUUAGGAAGACUUGAAUAAUGUGACAAUAUUUUUUGUGUUUUUGGGUAUGAAUAACCAUUACAUUUCAGGGAUUGUUUGGAAUUUAAUCACAAAAUUAUUAUGUUUUUAGAAUAUGCAAACAUAUUGACUUUUAUGAAAUUUUGGAGAAAAACUUCGUAUUAAAGAGAUCGAGUACUUGUUUAGGAAACAUCAGAAAACGACGCCUUACCCCGGAUCUGACGUGCAAUUUUGUCUAGUUUUUGGCUAUAUAGGUCACUGUUUGCGCGUUUUUGCGCUAAGCGCGAAAAAAAAUUUUUUUCUAUCAGGUCACAAUGGAGCCGCAUGGUUGUGGAGGAAGUAAUAUUGUUUGAAGUUUAAAUUUUAUCUUUACAUAGUUCAAAUUGACUUCAGAAUACUAACAAUUUAGUGUAAUUUUCAUUCUUGUAAGAAUCUUUCACUAAGUCAGACGGUCAUAAGCUGGGGAGGUGUAUCUAAUAAUUUAAUGGCCACAGCUUCAAUUUUUUUUUAUUAUUUUUUUUUUAAUAUUAUUUUUUUUUGACAGAAAAACACAAGAAGGUGGGUGCUCCAGUUAAAAGCAGUAGUAAGCUGGAGAGGAAAGGAGUGAUGACUAAUUAUGAAUAAGCCUUUAUUUUCUGAGACACUAACAACAUGUUGCUUCACCAGAUACAACUAACUCUUUCAACCUUCAAAAUAAAAAAAAGGCAAAAACAACCGUGAAAUACAUGUAAAAAUAACUACAAACCAUUGAUUUUCUUAAACGGGUCGUUUCUUCGAUUCAUCUUAAUCGUUAGAAUUGAUCAACAACCUUGGAAGCAAUCACUUCACGAACUCCUAUCGAAGUUUCAAUAUAUAGUGACACAAAUUCGUCGACAUCUACGCGUUUCUUUUCCACACGCACAUCGCUACAGUUCAAAGCAACAAUCUAUAUAUAUAAAAAUGCAGUGGCAUACGUGGGACCGCGCAUAACUUGUGAACGGAUGGUCUGAUUUGGGUCGUCUAAGUUUUGUUCUGUUAGUUUUUACCCAAGGAAGGUUUAUGAGGCAAAAAACAUGGGAAAAUUGAGAGUUUUUGAAAAACGGGUUUUCAUACAUUUUGAACUGGGAUUUGGGCUUGGCUAGGGACUUGAAACGUCAAAAAACGCAGGCUGGUAGAGCAUGGUAUUAAAUUGCUGUGUCGAUAUUCUCUUCUUGGACCUUGAAAAUCGAAGACUGGGGCACGCAAACUCCCAACAGCUUGUACCGAAUCCGCAGCAGGUCUCCAAGGUUUAGAGUCUCUAGUCGAUAGAUUAAUGUAGGUAAGGGAAGUCGGCAAAUUAGAUCCGUAACUUCGGGAUAAGGAUUGGCUCUGAAGACUGGGAUGACUCGGGCUAUACCCUCCCGGGGUUCGCCGCGGGUGCCGGCCCGCCUCGCGCGGGUCCGGUGCCUCGGUCCCCGGGGUCCGGGGUUUGCCUCAACGCGGUCCGGGCCGUUUCGUGUGGUGUUCGCGCACCGCCGGCGGUCGCCGGGGCCGCUGCAGUCAUCAAUAAACAGUCAAUUCAGAACUGGCACGGCUGAGGGAAUCCGACUGUCUAAUUAAAACAAAGCAUUGUGAUGGCCUCAAAAGGUGUUGACACAAUGUGAUUUCUGCCCAGUGCUCUGAAUGUCAACGUGAAGAAAUUCAAGCAAGCGCGGGUAAACGGCGGGAGUAACUAUGACUCUCUUAAGGUAGCCAAAUGCCUCGUCAUCUAAUUAGUGACGCGCAUGAAUGGAUUAACGAGAUUCCCUCUGUCCCUAUCUACUAUCUAGCGAAACCACAGCCAAGGGAACGGGCUUGGAAACACUAGCGGGGAAAGAAGACCCUGUUGAGCUUGACUCUAGUCCGGCAUUGUAAGGCGAUAUAAGAGGUGCAGAAUAGGUGGGAGCCGGGGUAAAACAUUACCUCCCCGGCACCAAUGAGAUACCACCACUCUUACUGUUGCCUUACUUACAUGAUCAGGUGGAACAAGUGCCAAGUUUCAAUAUAUAGUGACACAAAUUCGUCGACAUCUACGCGUUUCUUUUCCACACGCACAUCGCUACAGUUCAAAGCAACAAUAAGCUAUAAAAUUCAAAAGGAAUUCACUAAACGGCGUUGAACGCUGCGUUAAAUAGUUUUCUGCGUAAACGUCGAGAUUACCAAGGCAAUCUUUGAAUAUUUUAAUCGUAAUUUUAUUAUAAAAGAACAUUUUACGCUCUUCAGUGAAACCCCUUAUAUUGGUUUUUUAAACUUGAAGUUUUAUUGUAUGUUAUUCAUGCAGUUUCGUUAAACACAUUUCUACUGAACGACACACAGAGUGAUAAAGAUUUUUAAAAUAUUUGCUGGAACUCUACUGUUCAUAAAUAUGAUGACGGAUCUCUGAUGACCGUUUAUCAAAACUUCCUUCAAUAUUGCGAAUAUGAAUUGCCAAAUCUUUAUAGACAGGGUUGU
rnacentral:rRNA from 1 species